AACCUCCGCAAUGUGAGAAAUCGCGACGGGGGGAUCCCAAGUGCCAUUCUUAAUGGGAUGGCUUUUCUUAAGUGUAAAAAGCUUUUGGAAUAAGAGCUGGGCAAGACCGGUGCCAGCCGCCGCGGUAACACCGGCAGCUCUAGUGGUAGCUGUUUUUAUUGGGCCUAAAGCGUUCGUAGCCGGUUUGAUAAGUCACUGGUGAAAUCCUGUAGCUUAACUGUGGGAAUUGCUGGUGAUACUGUUGAACUUGAGGUCGGGAGAGGUUAGCGGUACUCCCAGGGUAGAGGUGAAAUUCUGUAAUCCUGGGAGGACCACCUGUGGCGAAGGCGGCUAACUGGAACGAACCUGACGGUGAGGGACGAAAGCUAGGGGCGCGAACCGGAUUAGAUACCCGGGUAGUCCUAGCCGUAAACGAUGCGGACUUGGUGUUGGGAUGGCUUUGAGCCGCUCCGGUGCCGAAGGAAGCUGUUAAGUCCGCCGCCUGGGAAGUACGGUCGCAAGACUGAAACUUAAAGGAAUU
rnacentral:rRNA from 1 species